GACCCCGUAGCUCAGCUGGAUAGAGCGGCGGUUUCCUAAACCGUAGGCCGGCGGUUCAAGUCCGCCCGGGGUCG
rnacentral:tRNA from 1 species